GUGGUUUUCUGGUGGCAUUUGAUGUGUGUGCCACGUUGCUUCUUACACACGUGUUAAGGGGGGCUUGCUUCCCCAAAUUUCUAACCUCCUGAUUGUUUAAAUCUAUCACUGAUAGAGAAAGAACUGAAAGAGAGAGAGAGAGAGGGGGGGGGAGAGAGAGGUUUCUGCUAGACAGAGAGAGAUCAGAGAAGAUAUGCGUCAUAGUAGACAGAGAGACAGGGUAGGGUGCUUCCACAUCUCUGACGACAUAGACGGUGGUUAAACCGUCAGAAUGGGUGAGAACCCGGUGCCGGGUUCUCUGGCGGUGAGAGACUUAGGGUUUCUAGGGUUCCGACGGGGUUCGGUGAGAACUUGGUGACCUGAACUAGGUAUGCAUGUAUCCUUUAUAGUUAGAUCGGGUCAUGGUUGUGGUUUACAACGGUGGUGGUGAUAGGGACGUGGUGGAAACCGGUCACGGAUAGGGUAGAGACACGUCUGAAUAGGAGAGAAAUAGAGUAGAGAGAGGCGACUGUUAGGGCAAGGGUUUCACCAUCGAAGAAGUAGGGCUAUCUGACGGAAAUCGCCAGUAGGAGCUCAACUGCUGAAGUCGAAGGAGAAAGGAACGGUGAAGGUGCCGUUGUAGGUUUAAGAGAUAAAACAUCCGAUGCCAGCGCAGAAGUUAGUGAAAACGAUGGUGCUGAAGCCGGAGAUUUACCGAAUCAGAUCCGUACAUCUGUGGCCUUAAACGCUUCAACCGGCGGUGCAAACACCGUGAAUCCUUUUGCCGUUGCUAUCUGGUAAUCUUUAAACACUCAUGUCUCAGUAAUCAGCUUCACAAACGUUCAUUUUUUCAUGUCAAGAUUUUUCAUAUCCAUGUAAGGUUUAUUUUGUACUACACACAUUUAAUGUUGUAUUUUAGGUUAUGGUGAUAGUAGCAGCGGUUUCAGGUGAUGGGUGGUAAGGGUGGCGUUUAGUUCAAGAUGGCGGGGGCAUAGUGGUGGGGUGGCGGUUUCAGGAGGCUAGAGAGAGAGAUGUGGGCGGAUAGAGUGUUUCUUUUGGAUAACGACCUGGCCUAAUUCGUAAGCGCCACUGCCGUCAGAGGUUGUUGAUAGGUAUGUUGACUAAUUAUUUGAGAUUUGUCAAAGAUUGGUGAAUUUUGGUGAAGACUUACAAAAUUAGCUUAGUGUGUAUUGAUGUUGCUGCUAUUCUUUUGAAUCCAUUGGAAGUAUGCCUUUUAAUGGAUUAUUUAUCACCCUCUUAUUUUAUACUUGCUUUGGGUUGUCUGGGAUUUGAUUCCUAAUUCGUAUUUGUUGUGUUGGUUUACACAAUAUUAGACGAUUUACUAAAUCUCAAAUGAGACAAGUUUGAGCAGAUCUAGGCGUUAUUUCAAGAGCAGAAGGGUAUGUUUUCAGUGUUUAACUUUAUUACAUGUUCACGUUUACACAAUAUUAGACGAUUUGCUAAAUCUCAAAGGUGUGUUGGUUAAUAUUGGCUGUUUUUUCUUAAUUUUUUAUGGCGGUGGGUCGGCAGUUUUUGAGAUGGGGAACACCAAAGUCGGUGUUGGACUUUAUGUUAACCUAGAGUGCGGGUGGGUCGGGUUGGUUUAGAAUGGUACAGUUUGCGGGUCGGGUCGGCAAGGGACAGUGCGAGUCGGCUAUGGUUUGGGUCAGUUCAGAACAAUGGAGGUCGGCGGCGGUUCGAUUCAGAAUUUGGUGAAUGAGGUUGUACAAAUGCACAAUUUAACAUUUUUACUAGGACCUUGGAUGGAACUUAGUUUAUUGGGCCAUCUGAAUUUAGCAUUCGGUUUGGUAGUACGUAUGUCUUGAUGAGGCUUUCUUUGUUAAAGUGUUUCAUAGUACUAAAUGACUUUUAUUCUGAAUUAAGUUGCAUAUUUUUUUUCCUGUUGAGCCGUCUAUAGUUUUAUUUUCCUGUCAAUAUUUAAUACCUAGAAGUGAAAGUAUUUCAUCUAUUUGAAAUAGCUGGGUCUUUUUUUUAUCAUGGAUCUAUGACAGAUUCGAUAAUGUUCUUUAUCGUUACUAAACUUUUCAUCUGGUUUUGAUUUUGCAUUGUAUUGUAUUUAUUGACAGCUCCUAAUGUAUUCGAUCUUCUUUAUAGAUUUAAUAUUUGCAGGUUUGGGAUUUUGCAAUCUUAAGUAAUCUUAAACUUGCAUAUUCAUUGAGCGGAUUAUUGCUUUGAGGUGCAUGCAUAGGAUAUGACCGAAAUAUAUAAUCAAGGAGGACACACAUGCCUUCCGGUGUUUGUACUAUGGUCAGUGUAAAAUUGCGGGAACAACAAAUAUGGCACCGGGAGGAGAAAGGAUUGAUUAGUAUUCUGUCAGUUCGAGAUGAUGCAGAAACAACGCGAGUGGAUCCUAUUGUCAAUGUUUACUUUAUCGUAUAUAUUUGUUUCUUUGACAACUAUGUUUUUAUCUACGUCUUGGUAUAAUUUUUUCCUGA